UCCCUGGUGGUCCAGUGGUUAGGACUUGGUGCUUUCACUGCCAUGACCCAGGUUCAAUCCCUGGCUGGGGAA